rnacentral:lncRNA from 1 species
GUGGUGCUGAGGAUCGAACCCGGGACACACGCAUGCCAGACGAUCGCGCUACCGCUCGAGCCACAUCCCCAGCCUGAGUACUGGAUUCUUCCCUCCCUUCCCCCACCCCAGUAGGAUGAUAACAGACUUGAAAGAAGACCAUGCAUACAGAAGGAGAGACUUCAGCAUGCAAACUUUCAUCAGUUCGGCUUGCACUGUAUAGAUGCCCCAUUCACAUCAGUACAGUGACCACCACCAGCCAAAUGUAAGUGACUAACAGGGUUUUUUCUGCCUUAUCAUAUUCUGACCGGAUUUAGCAACCUCUAACUAAACAGAGGCGGAUGCCCCAAACCUUCCAUGAUCCCCUAACUGCUCUCCUGAGAAAACUUUCUGUUGACUUGAUCAAAACAUAUAAGCAUAUUAAUGAAGUUUACUAUGCAAAAAAGAAGCAGAGACACCAACAGGUCAGGGAGACAAAUCUAGUCAUAAGAAGGAGUGGAAGGUUUACAAUAAUGGUUAUGAUGAUGAUAACAAUGAUUAUUGUAAAAAACAGAGAAAAGUGGAUGGAUCGUUGCAAAAUUGACUCCUUGAUAGGCAAAGGUUCCUUUGGACAGGCUAUAAAGGCAUAUGAUUGGGUGGAGCAAGAAUGGGUUGCCAUUAAAAUAAUAAAGAACAAGAAAGCUUUUCUAAAUCAAGCCCAAAUAGAAGUGUAACUUCUGGAGCUCAUGAACAAGCAUGACACAGAAAUGAAAUACUACAUAGUGCAUUUGAAACACCACUUUAUGUUUGGAAACCAUCUCUGUUUAGUUUCUGAAAUGCUGUCCUACAACCUUUAUGACUUAAGGAACACCAGUUUCCUAGUGGUGUCUUUGAACCUCACACGAAAAUUUGCACGACAGAUGUGCACUACACUGCUUUUCCUUGAGACUCCAGAACUUAGUAUCAUUCACUGUGACCUAAAACCUGAGAAAAUCCUUCUUUGUAACCCCAAAUUCAGUGCAAUCAAGAUUGUUGACUUUGGCAGUUCUUGUCAGUUGGGGUAGAGGAUAAUACCAGUAUAUUCAGAGUCACUUUUAUGGGUCUUCAGAGGUGCUACUGGAAAUGCCUUAUGAUCUUGCUGUUGACAUGUGGUCCCUUGGGUGUAUUUUGGUUGAAAUGCAUGAUGGAGAACCUCUGUUCAGUGGUGCCAAUGAGGUAGAUCAGAUGAAUAAAGUAGUGGAAGUUCUGGGUAUUCCACCCGCUCAUAUUCUUGACCAAGCACCCAAAGCAAGAAAGUUUUUUGAGAAGUUGCUAGAUGGCCCUUGGCACUUAUAGACCAAAGAUGGAAAAUGAGAGUACAAACCACCAACAACCCAUAAACUUCAUAAUAUUCUUGGAGUAGAAAGAGGAGGACCUGGUGGGUGGCAUGCUGGGGAGUCAGGUCAUAUGGCAGCUGACUACUUGAAGUUCAAAGACCUCAUUUUAAGGAUGCUUGAUUAUGACCUCAAAACUCAGAUUCAACCUCAUUAUGCCCUGCAGCACAGUUUUUUCAAGAAAACAGUUGAUGGAGGUAUAAAUACAAGUAAUAGUGUAUCCUCAAGCCCUUCAAUGGAGCAGUUCCAGUCUUCAGACAUAACCUCCAGUACAUUGUGGAGCUCAGUGGAUCACAGGGGAGGAGCAACAGUGGGAGAGACAGGUCAGACCUGACACACCAGCAUGGGCACAGUGGCAGGCAUUUCACGGCUGCCAUCCAGGCCAUGGACUGUGAGUCACACAGUCCCCAGGUGUGUUAGCAAUUUCCAGCUUCUCUUGGCUGGUCAGACACUAAAGGUCCUACACAAAUCACUGCUGAAACCCAUCCCAUUCAAGAAACAACCUAUCAUAUAGCCCUUCAGCACAAUGCAUUGCAUCAUCAGCAUGGAAACAUUUCCCAUCAUUACCACCAAAACCAUGGACAGCAAGCUUUGGGUAACUGGACCCAACCAAGGUCUACAAUUCUUCAACAAAUAGCUCCUGUACUCAGGAUUCUAUGGAGGUUGGCCACAGUCACCACUCCAUGACAUCCCUGUGUUCCUCGACAUCUUCCUCCUCUUCUGGUAAUCAAAGCAAUCAGGCCUACCAGAGCUGCCCAGUGGCUGCUAACACCUUGGACUUUGGACAGAAUGGAGCUAUGGACAUAAAUUUGUCUAUUCCAGUCCCUGCCAAGAGACUGGCAUAGCUGGGCAUCCAACUCACCAAUUUUCUGCUAAUACACCUGUAUAUUACAUGACUGAGUGACAUCUGACGACGAGGCAAUAGGGCUGACGGAGAAGAAUCUCCCAUGACAGGAGUGUGUGUACAACAGAGUCCUGUAGCUAGCUCACGACUACAUUGAAACGUGUUUUUAUAGAAGUGGUGUAUUUUUUCCAAAAACAACGUGAAAAACUGCUUGAAUCAGAAGGACAUUAACACACUGAACUGCUACAAGUGGACAAAGCUGACUCUUUUUUUUUAAACUUGAAAAGAUUGCAAAGGGAAAAUGAAGUUUUUUAGAGUCAUGUCCAAAUCCGUCUUCAUGGAUAGCUCAGAGGUACCCUCUUUUUGCCUCCCCCAUUUAACUUGCCACCUCUUCGUCAUAGAGGGUUUUUUUUUUCCUUAUAGUCAAUAAAAAAAGUUAAUGUUCAGCUGUUGGUCUUGGUCAUUUGCCAACUAAUUUUGAAAUAAAAAGGCACAGUACAUAAUUUGCACAGGGCCCAUGAAGUUUUGAUUGUUUGUUUGCACCAACAGGUCCAAACUAGGAGCAGGAGUAAACCAGAACUCUCAGCAUGACCUGAAGUGAACCGGCUGGUAUUUAACACGUGCUUCAUUUUGAGAUUAUGCUGUCUUAAUGUAACACAGUUUGGCAGUUGCUAAAUGUGUGCUCCUAUUUUAAAUUGACCAAUUUUAGGGUGUUAUACUUUUGAGUAAUUAAAUUGGGAGAAUAAAGAUAUAGUAAUUUAUUACCUGUCCAGA